CACUCAUCUGCAAUCACAGAAUGAAGACACAGUGGUUGUAAUACUAUAUGAGCAUGCUGUGCUGUGCCAGAAGUAUGUGGGCAGUAGAAGAGAAAGAAGACUUGAACAUUUUUCAAAUCAUCAUAACAAAAAAAUUGCCAGUCUAAUGAACAGGUAGCUGUCAGCACUACAAAGGAGGGAAGACUCCCGCACUCGCUACCACAUUUCUUCUCCACCUCCUGUGGUGGCCUCAAAUACUAGAACUAGAGGCACAUUCCUUUGGGCUUGAAAGUAUUGGUGAGCCUAAGAGACAGCAGAACAGUGGAAGCCUUCCUGAGUGCAAGGCCUGACACUUGUUGCGGAGCCAUGACUGGGGAUGCAUUUGACCCCACAGCCAUCUGAGAUAAGACACUUCUCAACUACCAUGUCUUCAGAUUCAUCUGCAUUAAACUUGAUAGAGCCCCAUUUCUUUGUGAUGUGGCCAAGCAACUUGAACUUGGCCCUGUGUAGGGACUCAGUCACAUGCUCCUUGUUCUGCACCUUGGUAUGGAUGGACAUGAUGACUUACCAAUGUAAAUUCUGGCCAUGGUACCCUGGGGCUUUCUAGAGAUACCCUGCACACCUGUCUGGAGCCUACAAUGGGAACAGUGCAAGGUCAAAGGUCAGAGGCAUAAACAUACAUUGGAAACGGCUGUCUCCUAUGUUCUUUAGAGCAACCCAUACAAGAAACAAGCUGUGUAUACAACAAAGGAGGCUGUUGUUUGCAGCCAUUACACCGAGCCCCUGUGAGGAAAGGAGUACAGCUGGCUUAAUUGACUGCAGAUGAAUAAUUUUAAAAGUCUGCUGAGUUCCAGAAUUCGGGGUGACAGUGGUAAUCAGAGUGACAGAACUCUAGAGAAAGGCAGUGUUCAUAGAAAAGAGUCAGAGGUUGCUGGUGGGGUCAGCUCCCACCAGCUGGAGGUUCUUUCUUGAUUCAGAACUCACAGAAUUUUAUGUGGUGUUUUAAUAAGAAAGAUGUUUCCAUCCUUGAACCAUCCCUUCUCUAGCUUGGAGGUCCUUCCUGUGCUAUAAAGAUCACAGAUAAUUUUCUGGCUUUGUACAAGGGCAGUACUGUUGAAGGGGACCUGCAAGCUUCUUUGUCCUAGAGACUAAAAGUCCCUAUUUCUGCCGCAGCAGUUCCAAAUCUACAAACAGAUAUUUUCACAUGGUAUCACUCCUCACUAGCCACCAGUUGCAGGAUGGAGAUGCAGGAUAUAUUAUAAUAGUUGUUUUUGAGUUCAGGUAGAACUUGGAAUCAGCCAAAUUUGCCUUAGGCUCAAACUGGAUGCCCUGAGAGAUAACUCCCACAGUGUAAGAUUGAGAACAUCUUUGAACUCCCAUGGGCCUGAUGCCUAGAAGGAGAGCAACCUGGGUUUUGCCCCUUCUUCUGCCUUUGCUGGUCUCCAUGCCUAAGCAUUACAUUCUAUCCAGCUCCUGCAGAUGAGUUAGCUGGCCUGAGUGCCUACAAAGGACCAGGCAUUCUCUAAGGCAUACUUUACAUGUUUCAAGGCACAUUUAGCAUGCUCUAAGGCAUACUCUAAGGCAUAUUUACAUAUUUACAUUCAUCUAAUACCGGCCAUUCUGUUUUUCCAGCCUGGCCUUCUGUCACAAUCUUGGGCUUAUCCCUUCUCAGCUAAGCACUAGGGGAGUGUUUCUUCAAAGCUCUAACAUGUACUGUGAGUGCUGUUCCCAAUGAUUCCCAUCUUUCUGAUUCCUUUUAAUUCCUCAGUAAUGAUUUGUGCUAAGUAUUUUUACUUUUUUUUCCUCCAAGUCUCAACCUUGAAGAGUUUACUGUGGCCACUUGAAAUUAAGUAUGGGCUGCUUUUAAUGGGACUAAUUGUUAUAAGUUCUCAUAGCAAGAAUCAAUUUCAAGAAUGAGAAAAAAAAUCCAUCCCCAGGUUUCCUGCAUCCUAUUCUCAGCCUCGUGAUUUAAUCACUUAAUUUUAGAAUAACGCACUCAGCUGUUUCCACGUCAGCCACUGACUUUUCCCAAGAAACAAAUAAUGAGGAAGAUGUGGCCUUAACUAAGAUGGCCUUGCCGUAGGUUAAAGGAUCAUGGACAGCUGAUCUCUAGUGCCUCUAGAUCAUUGGAACAAAGCCAUUUUCUUCCUCAGACCAGGUUGCUUUGAUUUGCAAUUUAUUAUAAACAAAAUGAACUGGCUAUUUUGGGGCUUGGGUUUGAACUAUUACCUAAAUCCUGACUAGUCAUAGUUUGUGAAGUUCUGCAACAAAUGCCUGCCUCUGUCUCUUUCAUUCUUUUUCUUCCUCUUCCUUUCUUUUUUUUUUUUAAAGAAUAUCUUUUUCUAGAACAAUGAAGCAGAUAAGAAAUAUAGGAAACCAUAGAGAGUUAAAUAGCAUUUAUGGAACUGUGAGGAUCAUCUACUGACAGUAAGAGCAAUAACACAGAAACAGACUUCAACUGGCAAGAAACAGCAGGUCACUGCCUGCAGGGGUUGACCAGCUUAGAAACUUGACUGUUUCAUGUGUUUGGGUAAUGUAAUCAAACACAGAUGCUGAACCAACUCAUGGUCUAAUGGCAUUAUAUUUGAUAUCUUCUACUUAAUUGUAAUUAAAGUUCAAUUUAAUUUCCUAGAGCAAUUAAAUAUAUUAAAAUAUUUUAUGGGCAUUUAUUAGCCCAAACUGAUUUUUAAAAAACACAAAGUGGCAUCAGGAGGGUUCUGUGUUUGAGAAGGCCACAAUGUUUUUCAGUGAGAUACUACAUUUGUCCAUAGGCUUAGGGAGAAUAAUUUACAUUUCAGUUUUACAAAAUUAACAUUAUGGUCAGCUUUCAACUAGGUAUGCAAAAGCCUUUAAUUUUAAGUGGAAGAAUAUCUGUGGGUGUGUGAAUAUUGAAUGAAUUCCCCAUAUUUAAUUUCUGCUGUAACUUAAUAGCCAAUAGACAAUAAGAAAUGUUGCUGUCAGGGAGGCUUUUAUGGGAAUGAACUGAAGAAAGAAGCAUAAUUCUAUACAAUGGAUGGAAGAACACCAUACAUCUCAGAUUUCUGAAGACGUGAAGAGAUUUCAAAUAGACUGCCCCUUUGUCCUUAUAAGCAUAUUAGUUGUCGGGCCACAUACUUUUAUUUUUGAUUUAGGACACGUAUUCACUAUACUUAAAUGUCCUUAAAGUAUAAUAAGAACAAAAGUCUUAGUCAAAAUGUAUAUAUGCUAUAUGCUUAUUAUUGUAGAAUUUGAGUAAGCAUCCUCAGGAAAGGAAAUGGUAUGUUUUUAAUUCUGUAUCCCAUGUAUGAGAGCACAAUUUGCAAUCCAAAAUUGAUUAAUUUUCAUAUGUCACUUGAUUAAAAAACAGAAUAGUGGUGGAAGCUUCUGGAGUAUUCCCAGAAGCAUUAAAAGAUAAACAAUAGAUGGACAAGUUAAAUCUGCAGUAAAAUCCCAUUAAUCAUAUGUAGCUGAGGCUUUAGAAGUGAGUCAUCAAAUAAUCACUGGAAACUUUGAGGAUACUUACUAAAAUUUUAAAGCUGACUAUAUUCCAACUGAAAAUGUUAUCCCCCUAAGUAAAAAGAGUACUUUUAUCCGACACACAGAACAUAUCUAGGCUAUUUAAUCUAUAUUAUUUGCUAGGUGAUUUUUAAGUAACCAUAGUUACUAGACUUAAAGAAUUUACAGUAGGUGUCUGUUGCAGUGGUGAUGGCACUAGAUUGAUUCAACAGUCAUUUAUUUGUAUUAAUGAAUAGGAAAUGAGAAAGAUUUGUGAAAGAACAAAUAAUCUAGGGGAGUUAAUGAGCACAUGUGUGCACACAUACUCUAACUUCCCAAGGAGGCUAUGUUGUACAGUGCUCUCCCCCACCCACCCUCAACUCUGCAGCCCACAGGUAGGGAGGGGGCCAUGCCCUAUAUUAGGAGGGGAGUCAAAGGCCAGGCUUACUCAAGUUUUAGUGCAGUAUAAAGUGCAGUUUGUAAAGCCUCUGGGUAAUUUGAUCAAUACAGGCACUCAAAAUCUAUAAUGUGAGUUCCAGAGUAAAUGUUUGGAUCAAAUCGAUCUUUAAUUAAAUUUAGAAGAAAACUAAAAUUUCCAUUUUAGUUGAGUAAGAACAAGAAGUUUAGCCAGAUAUCUGGCUGUUAAAUAUGAUGUAUAUAAAACAUCUAAAUAAUUAGUUUUUCAAACUUUGAAUUCAAAUGUCUGCUAUCUUUAGAUUCAAAGUGGAUUAAGAAUUAGUCAUGGUAACUCAAUUUCUUUGAUUUAUGAAGAAUGCGUGACUGAAAAUAAUGACCGAUCCAAUAUGCAAAGGGUAAUUACUUUUAUGUCGGAAAUAUUCUUAUGUCAUUCCUGCACUUGGUCUAGAGUUAUUUUAUAUAUAUAUAUAAUGAAAUACAAUGCAAUGUACUACAAAACAUAAUUCAAAUAUUAUGAUAGUAUAUUUAUUCAAAUGAUUUCCAUGAUUCCACAAGUUUAUAUGGCAAUUACAAAGUUUCUGAAUUUAGUAUAUAAAAAUGAUGCUAGAAAAAUGGGUAUCUACCAUUUUUAAACAUCUCUUUGAAACAUUAAAAUCUCAU